AUUGAACGCUGGCGGCAGGCUUAACACAUGCAAGUCGAGCGGGGGAAGGUAGCUUGCUACCGGACCUAGCGGCGGACGGGUGAGUAAUGCUUAGGAAUCUGCCUAUUAGUGGGGGACAACAUCUCGAAAGGAAUGCUAAUACCGCAUACGUCCUACGGGAGAAAGCAGGGGAUCUUCGGACCUUGCGCUAAUAGAUGAGCCUAAGUCGGAUUAGCUAGUUGGUGGGGUAAAGGGCUACCAAGGCGACGAUCUGUAGCGGGUCUGAGAGGAUGAUCCGCCACACUGGGACUGAGACACGGCCCAGACUCCUACGGGAGGCAGCAGUGGGGAAUAUUGGACAAUGGGGGGAACCCUGAUCCAGCCAUGCCGCGUGUGUGAAGAAGGCCUUAUGGUUGUAAAGCACUUUAAGCGAGGAGGAGGCUACUCUAGUUAAUACCUAGGGAUAGUGGACGUUACUCGCAGAAUAGCACCGGCUAACUCUGUCCCAGCAGCCGCAGUAA
rnacentral:rRNA from 1 species